CACGUAGGGCGCAAGCGUUGUCCGGAAUUAUUGGGCGUAAAGAGCUCGUAGGCGGCCUGUUAAGUCGAACGUGAAAUCCCCGGGCUCAACCCGGGAACUGCGUCCGAUACUGGCAGGCUUGAAUCCGGGAGAGGGAUGCGGAAUUCCAGGUGUAGCGGUGAAAUGCGUAGAUAUCUGGAGGAACACCGGUGGCGAAGGCGGCAUCCUGGACCGGCAUUGACGCUGAGGCGCGAAAGCCAGGGGAGCAAACGGG
rnacentral:rRNA from 1 species